GGGAGAUUCCUGGCGUGCAUCUACUUAAUUUGAAGAAGAACAUCACCUGUCUGUAAUCCACCUGCGUAAGUACUGGUCAAGGGGCUCAUCGGCUAUCAAGUUAUAGAUUUCAGUGGCUAAUAGAAGACACUGCUGAGGUCAGACGAGAGUGCAUCCUCAAAUGUCUGUGUGUACCUAAAUGAAGAUCCAGAGAAGCUGGUGAGGGAGUACAUGGUAUGUUAAAUUCUCUUUGUGUUUACAAUAGAACUCCUAAGAGUUGUUAAAAUACUUUCACCAACUAAGGUCCAUGAGUGACUCAAUCAAUGUCAGUCUUAAUUUAUUUAUUUAAUUACAUGUGAA